CCUGGAACGUCUCAAGGCAGACCUGCAGGCUGUAGUACAGGGUGAAGAAGAUCAGGUAUAUGAUCAGAAGAUGAGGUAUAUUGGGGUCCUUCACAGGUGUACACACCUGUGGAGAGUCUGUUAAGUAAUGGCUGCAUGACCCUGCUGAUUGUGUGGUACAAAGAAAACUCACCUAAAGCAAGUGCAGGAGAGUACUGGGGCUCGACAUGAAACUGCAGAGCUUUUUCAGCACCUUGAAAAUACUUAACUAGACGUAAACAACAAAACAGAACAUGGCAUAAGUGUGAGUUAAGGACAGGACUACCAGCUCAACGAAUCUUCUCACACAGAAGGAGAUUACUGCAGAAAGCCAGAUGACCGAUGACCUGCUCUGGAUGAUUCAUUCUCUGGCUGAAGAGCUUAUUGCUGUGGGAUGGGUGAUACUGGAUCAAACUGUUAGGAGAUAAUUUGGUUGCUGAUGUAGCAGGACUUGCCCUUGAGCCUGUGUUGUGCUGAAGACCAGCUUUCUGGACAGCAGCAUCUUUGGACAGGUUCCACUAGGAAAUUCUGGUAGCAGGUGAAGGUGUUUUGGCCCAUGCAACCUGUUGUGCAGAGAGCCUCAGAGACAGAGACAGUUAGGCAAGGAAAAUGGGCAAGACAUAGAUAAAAAAUAAAAGCCCCUGCGCUUGUAGAUCUCUUUGCCCAUACCUAUUUCUGAGCUCUGUCAGGAGCAGCAGAGGAUACUUGGUGCAUUGAAGACAAAGGGAACAGAGAAAAUCAGAUGACGUUUAAAAGCUGUAUUGCCCAUAACUUUUCUGAACUUGGAAAGGGCCCGCCAAUUAUAUUCUGAGAUGCCAAAGAACAGCAUCUGUAAAACUGCAAACCAUAAUCACUUCUGGGUAGUUCAUGGCUGUCCUCCACAUCUCAUUGCAUUUAUUGCUGAGACCAUUGAGAAUCAGAGCCUGGAAAUUUUAAUUUCCUCUUGCAUGUGUUUAGGUAACAGAGGCACAUGAUGACCUCGGGAUAAAAAGUCAUCUCCUGGGUCUCCACAGCAGUGUACACUGUGGCUGACUUCUGCCUUGUCCUCUGCAGUUUGACCUUAGGCCAAGCUUGUAGGAUGGUCUUCAGAAGAAAACCAGCUCUGGUUUCUGCUGUGCUCUUAGGAAAGGAAUUCUUCCUCUCAUCAGAUACAGAGGAACUACUGUGAAACACAUGCCAUAUGUUGUAGGCAUGUGUUUACAUACAUAUUCAUCUCUGUGGCUGCUGGAAUCUCUGUUAAACAGCAGCUUUGGUUCUUUAGGGCUCUGACUAUUCCACACUGUAAGUAUUAUACACUGGACCGUGCAGAUCACUUCUGUUUAUCCCAAUAUUGCUCUAAAUUGAGCUGCUUGUUCUUUCAGAUGUGAGAAGAGUCUGUCUUGAAGAGAUUUUUCUUUUGUUUAAUAAAACAAUCAGUAGAAUAGAAGUUGUCAGAGCUAAAAUUGUGUGUGCUUUAGGUUGCUUCAUUUUCUGAAAACCUCUACUCCCAUUGACACAGCUGAUAUAGCUGUGUUGUGGGUUAUUC